rnacentral:rRNA from 1 species
AGCCUAAAGAGAUACUAAUUUUAGGUAACCCCUGCCCAGCGACAGUAAGUCUAGCGGCCGCAGUACCUUGACUGUGCUAAGGUAGCGUAAUAAUUUGUCCUUUAAUUAAGGUCUUGAAUGAACGGGGCCACGAGAAAUGUACUGUCUCCUGAAUAAGUCUGUUGAAAUUACUUAAAAGGUGAAAAUUCCUUUAGUCAAAGAAAAAAGACGAGAAGACCCUUAGAAUUUUAAUGAAAACUAUCAAGACGUGAUAGGUUAGUUUUCGUUGGGGCGACGAGGUAGCAACUAAGCAACCUACUUAUCUAAUGUUUGAUGGGCCGAACCUUAUUAUACAUAACUAAAUUACCUAAGGGAUAACAGCAUAAUACUUAAUAGUGUUUGUGACCUCGAUGUUGGACUAGGGACUAAUUGGUUAACCACCAGGAUAGAUGAUUCUGUUCGAAUCCCAUACCCU